GCUCCGGUAGUGCAGGUGGUAACAUUGCCUGGUAAGCAAAAGAUGCAGGUUCGAACCUUGCCUGGGGCC